rnacentral:rRNA from 1 species
GAUGAGCGCUGGCGGCGUGCUUAACACAUGCAAGUCGAGCGAAGCAGUUAAGUUGAUUUCUUCGGAUUGAUUCUUAACUGACUGAGCGGCGGACGGGUGAGUAACGCGUGGGUGACCUGCCCCAUACCGGGGGAUAACAGCUGGAAACGGCUGCUAAUACCGCAUAAGCGCACAGAGCUGCAUGGCUCGGUGUGAAAAACUCCGGUGGUAUGGGAUGGGCCCGCGUCUGAUUAGGCAGUUGGCGGGGUAACGGCCCACCAAACCGACGAUCAGUAGCCGGCCUGAGAGGGCGACCGGCCACAUUGGGACUGAGACACGGCCCAAACUCCUACGGGAGGCAGCAGUGGGGAAUAUUGCACAAUGGGGGAAACCCUGAUGCAGCGACGCCGCGUGAGCGAAGAAGUAUUUCGGUAUGUAAAGCUCUAUCAGCAGGGAAGAUAAUGACGG